AUGAUCUCCCAGACUCAGUUUCUCUGGCUCCUUGUGCUCUGCAUUCACGACUCCAGUGGGCAGAUUGUGCUGACUCAGACUCCAGAAUCCCUGGCAGUGUCUCCUGGAGACACAGUCACUAUCCGCUGCAAAACCAGUUCCAGUGUCGGCAGUGAGAUGGCCUGGUACCAACAGAAAUCAGGACAAGCGCCUAAGCUCCUUAUCUACUACGCUUCCAGCCGUCCGUCUGGGGUCCCAGACCGGUUCAGCGGCAGUGGGUCUGGCACCGACUUCACAUUCACCAUCGGCAGAGUUGAAGCGGACGAUGCCGGAGAUUAUUACUGUCAGCAGCAUUAUACCACCCCUCUCGCACAGUGA